GUCUAUGGCCAUACCACCCUGAAGGCACCUGAUCUCUUCUGAUCUCCUGAAGCUAAGCAGGGUCGGGCCUGGUUAGUACUUGGUUGGGAGACUGCCUGAGAAUACCAGGUGCUGUAGGCU
rnacentral:rRNA from 1 species